AGAUGUGAAAGUGCCCUAAAUCAGACAAAAGGCUACCUGUGCUACCCUCCCCCAUUUCUGAAUCUGUGAUUGGUAACAAAAUAACAGGAUUUAGAGUAGUACAUUUUUUGAAAGAAAUGAGGAGUGCACAUUGGAGUCUGAGUUGUCUAGCCAUAGAAAUAUGAUUUGGUUGCACUUGUGUGAGUAUGUCCUAUGUGUUUGCACAAUUGUAUGUUUCCA